UUGGCAGGGACAUUUCUUCCUCCUCAACAGCUGACAAGACAACCAGGAGGCUGGCUAAACCCUGCUUCCCACCACAAGACUGCUGCAGCUGAGAGAUCCUAGGACACAUGACAAAGGCCAGCAGAAGAAAUGCCUCUUAUUAAAUACCUGAUUGCUUGUACAGUAAGCUUAACUUCUACUUGGAAAUACUGCUUUGGAAGAGAAAAUUAAGAAAAAACAUCAUUAAAAAAAAGACAAGGUUGGGCUUCCCUGGUGGUGCAGUGGUUG